UCCGGUGUGGUGUAGUGGCUGUGAUGCCUGGCUUUCAUCCAGGGGGCCCGGGUUCGAUUCCCGGUACCGGAA